rnacentral:rRNA from 1 species
CAUAGAAAAAUCCAUCGUCCUGAAUGGACAGGUCUCCUUUGAUUUCAGAAGUUAAGUAGGAUUAGGGGUGGUUAUUAGUUGGAUGGGAGACCCACCUGGGAAUAUAACAUGUCUCAAUGC